rnacentral:rRNA from 1 species
AACGUAGGUGGCGAGCGUUAUCCGGAUUUAUUGGGCGUAAAGCGUCCGUAGAUGGUUUUGUCAGUCUGCUGUCAAAGCACAGGGCUUAACCCUGUAAAGGCAGUGGAAACUACAAGACUAGAGUGCAGUAGGGGCAGAGGGAAUUCCCAGUGUAGCGGUGAAAUGCGUAGAGAUUGGGAAGAACAUCCGUGGCGAAAGCGCUCUGCUGGACUGCAACUGACAUUGAGGGACGAAAGCUAGGGGAGCGAAUGGG